UACGUAGGGUGCGAGCGUUGUCCGGAUUUAUUGGGCGUAAAGAGCUCGUAGGCGGCUUGUCGCGUCGGAUGUGAAAGCCCGGGGCUUAACUCCGGGUCUGCAUUCGAUACGGGCAGGCUAGAGUGUGGUAGGGGAGAUCGGAAUUCCUGGUGUAGCGGUGAAAUGCGCAGAUAUCUGGAGGAACACCGGUGGCGAAGGCGGCAUCCUGGACCGGCAUUGACGCUGAGGCGCGAAAGCGUGGGGAGCGAACGAGG
rnacentral:rRNA from 1 species